GCUGGGAUAGCUCAGUCGGUAGAGCAUGAGACUCUUAAUGUUAGGGUUGUGGGCUUGAGCUCCACAUUGGGCA